rnacentral:rRNA from 1 species
GUAGGGAAUAUUGGACAAUGGGCGCAAGCCUGAUCCAGCCAUCCCGCGUGAAGGAUUAAGGUCCUAUGGAUUGUAAACUUCUUUUCUCUGGGAAUAAAAACCGGGAUUCAUUCCUGGCUUGAAGGUACCAGAGGAAUAAGCACCGGCUAACUCCGUGCCAGCAGCCGCGGUAAUACGGAGGGUGCAAGCGUUAUCCGGAUUCACUGGGUUUAAAGGGUGCGUAGGUGGCUUUAUAAGUCAGUGGUGAAAGCCCGGAGCUUAACUCCGGAACUGCCAUUGAUACUGUUUAGCUUGAAUCAAGUAGAGGUGGAUGGAAUAUUACAUGUAGCGGUGAAAUGCUUAGAGAUGUAAUAGAACACCAAUUGCGAAGGCAGUUCACUAUGCUUGCAUUGACACUGAGGCACGAAAGCGUGGGGAUCAAACAGGAUUAGAUACCCGAGUAGUCC